AGGUGAAUCAUUGGAGUCAGAAUGUGAGAAUAAUGGCACUGUUUAUCAAAAUGGUAGCAAUUUUCAUCUAAAUCCAUGUACACAUUGUGUUUGUAUGAAUGGUCAUAUAACAUGUGAAGUAGAAGAGUGUGUUCGCUUUGACUGUGCAAGUGAUAUGUGGAUCAAUAAACCUGAUAUGUGCUGUUCAGUAUGUGCAGGUCCAUCUGAUUGUCAGUUUGAAAACAGGUUUCAUGAAGAUGGUGAUACUUUCAUUCCAGUUGCAGACAAAUGUGCCCUGUGUACAUGCAAGGUAGGAUAGAAAUAUAUAUUACCAGAGGUACA